rnacentral:tRNA from 1 species
GGAGGGAUGGCAGAGCGGUCGAAUGCGGCGGUCUUGAAAACCGUUAGGCGCGCAAGUGCCUCGUAGGUUCGAAUCCUACUCCCUCCG